AGGGCACCACCAGGAGUGGAGCCUGCGGCUUAAUUUGACUCAACACGGGAAAACUCACCCGGCCCGGACACUGGAAGGAUUGACAGAUUGAGAGCUCUUUCUUGAUUCAGUGGGUGGUGGUGCAUGGCCGUUCUUAGUUGGUGGAGUGAUUUGUCUGGUUAAUUCCGAUAACGAACGAGACUCUAGCCUACUAAAUAGAUCGUCGGCUUACAAACGCCGGCGAGACUUCUUAGAGGGACAGGCGGUGAUUCAACCGCACGAAACAGAGCAAUAACAGGUCUGUGAUGCCCUUAGAUGUCCGGGGCCGCACGCGCGCUACACUGAAGUGAUCAGCGUGCUUUUUCAACCUACUCUGUCAAGAGUGGGGAACCCAAUGAACCUUCUUCGUGGUUGGGAUAGGGGAUUGUAAUUAUCCCCCUUGAACGAGGAAUUCCCAGUAAGCGCGAGUCAUAAGCUCGCGUUGAUUACGUCCCUGCCCUUUGAACACACCGCCCGUCGCUACUACCGAUUGAAUGUUUU
rnacentral:rRNA from 1 species